rnacentral:rRNA from 1 species
AACUUUGUGUAAGGGAAGAACACGUACGAGGGGAACUGCUUGUACAUUGACGGUACCUUAUUAGAAAGCCACGGCUAAUUCCGUGCCAGCACCCGUGGUAAUCAGUAGGUGGCAAGCGUUGUCCGGAAUUAUUGGGCGUAAAGCGCGCGCAGCCGGUCCUUUAAGUGAGAUGUGAAAGCGCACGGGUCAACCGUGGAGGGUCAUUGGAAACUGGGGGACUUGAGUACAGAAGAGGAAAGCGGAAUUCCCUGUGUAGCGGUGAAAUGCGUAGAGAUGUGGAGGAACACCAGUGCCGAAGGCGGCUUUGUGGUCUGUAACUGACGCUGAGGCGAGAAAGCGUGGGGAGCAAACAGGAUUAGAUACCCUGGUAGUCCCCGCCGUAAACGAUGAGUGGUAAGUGUUAGGGGGUUUCCGCCCGUUAGUGAUGCAGCUAAGGCAUUAAGCACUCCGCCUGGGGAGUCCGGCCGCAAGGCUGAAACUCAAAGGAAUUGACGGGGGCCCGCACAAGCGGUGGAGCAUGUGGUUUAAUUUGAAGCAACGCGAAGACCCUUAUCAGGUCUUGACAUCCCACUGACCGGAUUAGAGAUAAGUCUUUCCCUUCGGGGACAGUGGUGUCAGGUGGUGCAUGGUUGUUGUCAGCUCGUGUCGUGAGAUGUUGGGUUAAGUCCCGCAACGAGCGCAACCCUUGAUCUUAGUUGCCAGCAUUUAGUUGGGCACUCUAACGGUGACUGACCGGUGACAAACCGGAGGAAGGUGGGGAUGACGUCAAAUCAUCAUGCUCUUUAUGACUUGGGGUA